UGGUGAUGUGAAGCAUAAAACUUACUUGAACAUGUCGUUUUGUUUUAGGGAGCAAGGAGCAAACUGCCCUCUUUAUUAAAUUGAGGGGGGACAGCGACCACCUCUUCACCGGGGCAAAGUUUUCUGCCAACGUGGCUUGGAGGACAAUUUUGGAGAAAAUGGGCCUGUGGGGAAGGUGACUUCCCUCCAAGCGAAAAAAAAGUGGGACAAUUUAAAAAAA